rnacentral:rRNA from 1 species
CGGCAACAGCUCAAAUUUGAAAUCUGGUCCUUUCAGGAUCCGAAUUGUAAUUUGUAGAGGAUGCUUCGGCUAACGCCCCGGUCUAAGUUCCUUGGAAUAGGACGUCAUAGAGGGUGAGAACCCCGUCUGUGGCCGGCGGCCGCUGCCAUGUGAAGCUCCUUCGAC